rnacentral:rRNA from 1 species
AGAGUUUGAUCAUGGCUCAGGAUGAACGCUGGCGGCGUGCUUAACACAUGCAAGUCGAACGAACCUUCGGGUUAGUGGCGGACGGGUGAGUAACGCGUGAGAAUCUGCCCUCAGGAGGGGGAUAACGGUUGGAAACGACCGCUAAUACCCCAUAUGCCGAAAGGUGAAAUGAAUUUCGCCUGAGGAUGAGCUCGCGUCUGAUUAGCUAGUUGGUGUGGUAAUGGCUCACCAAGGCUUCGAUCAGUAGCUGGUCUGAGAGGAUGAUCAGCCACGCUGGGACUGAGACACGGCCCAGACUCCUACGGGAGGCAGCAGUGGGGAAUUUUCCGCAAUGGGCGAAAGCCUGACGGAGCAACGCCGCGUGAGGGACGAAGGCCUCUGGGCUGUAAACCUCUUUUCUCAAGGAAGAAGAUAUGACGGUACUUGAGGAAUAAGCCACGGCUAAUUCCGUGCCAGCAGCCGCGGUAAUAC